rnacentral:rRNA from 1 species
UACGUAGGUGGCGAGCGUUGUCCGGAUUUACUGGGCGUAAAGGAUGCGUAGGCGGAUAUUUAAGUGAGAUGUGAAAUACCCGAGCUUAACUUGGGUGCUGCAUUUCAAACUGGAUAUCUAGAGUGUGGGAGAGGAGAAUGGAAUUCCUAGUGUAGCGGUGAAAUGCGUAGAGAUUAGGAAGAACACCCGUGGCGAAGGCGGCUCUCUGGGACGGUACUGACGCUGAGACGCGAAAGCGUGGGGAGCGAACAGG